rnacentral:tRNA from 1 species
GCGGCUGUAGCACAAUGGCAGUGCGUCUGCUUCCCAAGCAGAUGACGCGGGUUCGAUUCCCGUCAGCCGCUCCA